GUUAAAUUGCAAAUUCCUGGUGCUCUGCCCCAAACCUACAGAAUUAGACUUUCUGGGGUAGAGCCCAGGAAUCUGCAUUUUUAACAAACAACCCCCCCCC
rnacentral:miRNA from 1 species